GUGAGUGUCGAACGAUGAAGCCCAAAAGGCUGGGUGGAUUAGUGGCGAACGGGAGAGUAACACGUGAGUAACCUGCCCUUAACUCUGGGAUAAGCCUGGGAAACUGGGUCUAAUACCGGAUAGGAGCGCCCACCGCAUGGUGGGUGCUGGAAAGAUUUAUCGGUUUUGGAUGGACUCGCGGCCUAUCAGCUUGUUGGUGAGGUAAUGGCUCACCAAGGCGACGACGGGUAGCCGGCCUGAGAGGGUGACCGGCCACACUGGGACUGAGACACGGCCCAGACUCCUACGGGAGGCAGCAGUGGGGAAUAUUGCACAAUGGGCGCAAGCCUGAUGCAGCGACGCCGCGUGAGGGAUGACGGCCUUCGGGUUGUAAACCUCUUUCAGUAGGGAAGAAGCGAAAGUGACGGUACCUGCAGAAGAAGCACCGGCUAACUACGUGCCAGCAGCCGCGGUAAUACGUAGGGUGCGAGCGUUAUCCGGAAAUUAUUGGGCGUAAAGAGCUCGUAGGCGGUUUGUCGCGUCUGUCGUGAAAGUCCGGGGCUUAACCCCGGAUCUGCGGUGGGUACGGGCAGACUAGAGUGCAGUAGGGGAGACUGGAAUUCCUGGUGUAGCGGUGGAAUGCGCAGAUAUCAGGAGGAACACCGAUGGCGAAGGCAGGUCUCUGGGCUGUAACUGACGCUGAGGAGCGAAAGCAUGGGGAGCGAACAGGAUUAGAUACCCUGGUAGUCCAUGCCGUAAACGUUGGGCACUAGGUGUGGGGACCAUUCCACGGUUUCCGCGCCGCAGCUAACGCAUUAAGUGCCCCGCCUGGGGAGUACGGCCGCAAGGCUAAAACUCAMAGGAAUUGACGGGGGCCCGCACAAGCGGCGGAGCAUGCGGAUUAAUUCGAUGCAACGCGAAGAACCUUACCAAGGCUUGACAUGUUCUCGAUCGCCGUAGAGAUACGGUUUCCCCUUUGGGGCGGGUUCACAGGUGGUGCAUGGUUGUCGUCAGCUCGUGUCGUGAGAUGUUGGGUUAAGUCCCGCAACGAGCGCAACCCUCGUUCCAUGUUGCCAGCACGUCAUGGUGGGGACUCAUGGGAGACUGCCGGGGUCAACUCGGAGGAAGGUGAGGACGACGUCAAAUCAUCAUGCCCCUUAUGUCUUGGGCUUCACGCAUGCUACAAUGGCCGGUACAAUGGGUUGCGAUACUGUGAGGUGGAGCUAAUCCCAAAAAGCCGGUCUCAGUUCGGAUUGGGGUCUGCAACUCGACCCCAUGAAGUCGGAGUCGCUAGUAAUCGCAGAUCAGCAACGCUGCGGUGAAUACGUUCCCGGGCCUUGUACACACCGCCCGUCAAGUCACGAAAGUCGGUAACAUCCGAAGCCGGUUUGUUACCACAUGGGCUACUCG
rnacentral:rRNA from 1 species